UUAAUGGCGAUUUGCAUAGUAGUUUUAUCGUUCCUUUGUUUACUAUUCGUUUCAUUGAUAUGCGUAAUAAGAUUUACACUUAGAAUGAGUAUACAAGGAAAUACUGACCAAUGUAUAUAAAUAUUACUAUUUGGGAGACGAAACAAUCAUUGCAAUCGCUUGCUUGAAACACCUCGGAUCUUUGGUAACUCAGCAAAGUACAUCACCAACAAAGAUGAAAUCCUUUUGCUUCGCACUCUUGAUGGCCCUUGUCCUUGUCUCCGUUGUCCAAGGUCAAUGGGGUGGCUACUACGGGGGUGGUGGAAACUACUACGGUGGACUCGGACUGGGAGGUGGAUAUUACGGGGGCGGAUUGAUCGGUGGCGGACUUGGCGGAUGGAAUUCCGGAUUUGGUCGAUUCGGUGGCCGCGGACUUUUGGGCCUUGGUCGUAGAGGUCUCCGCAGAAGGGGAUAUUAUUAGUUUCCAAAUGAACUCAAAAUAAAUCAUCAAGUGCCACCCAUUAUAAACAUUUGAUCACCUAUCCUGAUAUUUUCAUUUGAGCAUUGAAUGUGAAUAUAUGUAUUUAGUAUCUUGUUAUUUUUUUUUAUACUUUUUUGUCUUUAAUUGCAUAAAAUGUCAUUGUGAUACUUUUAUGAAUGAUUCAGACAUUUUAUACAGUUGAGUUAUGAUUUCAAUAAAAACUACAAAAGUUUAUAUCUAUCUUUUAUAUUUGUAUUUAAUAAUUUUUCUAUC